CCCGGCACCGCCCGCGCCGCGGGGCGAGGUGAGGUGAGCGCCCGCUCCUGCCAUGGCGGCGCUGCGGGACGUCUUUCGGCGGCCUUUCGGCGGCCCGCUCGCGGUGGGUUUCAGUUCCCCGGGCAGCGAGCCGACGGCAGCGGUGGUGUCCGUCAGCGCCUGUCCUGCGCCCCCGGCCUGCCGAAGAUCCCUUUGGAAGCGAAAAAACUGCUUUGAAGCAUCUAGGGGAAGCAGGCGGGAAUUUACUAUAAAUUUCUCACAGGUACAGCAGCUCUACAGAAGCAGCUUAAUUUCCCCCCGGCCGGCUGCAGGCAGUCAGCACAGCCACUCACCUCCGCGAGGCGCUGCCCCCCGAGCUCUGCUGCUGGCCGCGCUCGGUGCGGGACACGCGGUGCAGAAAGUGCCAUUUAGGAGUCUGCGCCAUACGGAUCGCGGGGCCAUUAUAAAGCCGGGCUGUGUCUGUGCUGUGCAUUCUCUGAGCUUGUUGGAGUGUGUUUGUUCACCUUUCUGUUUCGAGCGGUAGUGCGAAAAUCAUCGUUAACUUCAACACGCAUAAUUUGUGUUUCCUUUUCAGACCCUUUGUGGCGUAUCAUAAUGCUGGCCAAUCUCGUAUUUUUUCUUUGCCUGGCUAUUAAUGCUGCUUCUUAGCUUCUUCUCAUUCUCUAGUCAUACACGAUCCUGCCCCUCUGUGCUGUGGGGCCUCACCUGGAGUACUGCUUACAGAUGUGGAGUCCUCAGUACAGGAGAGACACGGACCUGUUGGAGGGUGUCCAGAGGAGGGCCACAAAAAUAAUCCCAGGGAUGGAACACCUCUCCUGUGAGGACAGGCUGGGAGAGCUGGGGCUGUUCAGCCUGGAGAAGGCACUGGGGAAACCUGAGAGUGGUCUUUCAGUAUCUAAAGGGGGGCUGUAAGAAGGAAGGGGACAGACUUUUUAGUAGGGUCUGUUGUGAAUUGGAAUUUCACACUUGGAAUUUCAUCACCCCAAUAGAAAUCAGGAGAGGGAAAUUGGUUUUGUGUGCCUCUGCAGAUAGGUCAGCAGUGGACAGGACCCAGUGACAGACAUAGAAGAGUUUGGUGCUUCUGACAACAGUGGAGCGUCGCUGAGGAUCCCAGAGCUGUGACUGCAGUUUUCCAAUUCGCAGGCUGUCUUGGCAGUAGAGGAAAUGUGAAGAAGAGCUAUGUGUCAUUUGAAUAGUGCUGUCAUCUUACCAAUUACUACUAUAGCUGCUGUACACAGGUGUUGCAAGGUCAUACCUUCACCCAUCCGAGGCAAAGACAUGAUGUUAUCUGCCUGAAAAUAUCUGUCUGGGCAAUCCUUCAACGAGACUUCUCCCACACAUCAAUCCAACUUUCUUUUUUCUCCUGUAACUUCUUGCUUCUUUCAUGUUGCACAAGAGGUUCCCUAAAACAUUAAUUUUUCCUCCUCCAGAUUCCUACAGUAAGUACCACUUUGUCUACAAAAUCCUUCUCAGUAAUUAAGAAGCUCAUAUGUUACAACCUCUGCUUGGUAUGAUAAUUACCCUACUGCUAGCUCUCCCUGUUGACUGUGUUCAUCUUCCAUCCAUUACCAUUAGCUUGAAUUGAAUAGAAUUUGGAGUGGUAUGAAGUGCCUCACACAGAGAAGAACCAGCAUUUUGAAGGACCUGCAGGUGCUGCUACCUGAAGGUUAGUUUAACAACUGAAAAUACUCUAUCGUGAAUGGCCUCAAUAUAUCAUUCAGGUGGUAUUCUUAAAAUUAUAUUUUAAUCUCAAUUAAAAUGUGAAUAUCAGUUAUUUAAUGCAACCUAAAGGAAGUUUGUUUUGUUGAAAAAAAAAAAAAAAUGAUGAUCAGCCAUAGUUCUGGCCUGUAAUAAGUUCAAGUGUAUGAUGGCUUCCUGUGCUCAGGCUCACCAGGAAGGGGAAUCAGGACAGCGCACGUUGGCAGGUGGGAGUGUAAAUCCGGGUAGGAGGAGAACUCGUGUCAGGAGUGUGUCAAAUCAAUCUCUUCCAAGCGGGAUCCUCAAAAACCUAAAGGUUCAAAUUUGAAGUGUAUUCCACUCUGUGGAAAAAAAUAAUAAAUGAGAGCAUCAAUAUCUGCACUCUUCAGCUUUAAGCCUCCCAGGGGUACAGGCAAUCAGGCUGAUAAGUUGUAAUUUCACACCCUUUGCACCAGCUGCACUUAACUCAUCUGAUUUUUACCUAUGUCACCAGUAGCACCGCAGGGAAUUAGAAUGAGAGAACUAUUAAAAGCCUAAUGUAUUUUUUUGUAUGUAGGUUGUUUGCAUUUCUAAUGCCUAUUUUGAAGCCUUGUGUGAAGUCGAAAGUGGAGGUGAUAAUUCAUUAGCAAGCAAAAUCUAGAAGUAAGGUAUUAUGAAAAAAAAACCUUUUAUGGAGGGAAGACGGAGAACUUAAUGCUCAAGGUAAACAGUUUCAAUUAGGAAGUUCUUUGAAGUAUGAUGAGAGCAGUCCAAAAAGAAUCAUACAGACUGCCAAAAUAAAGACCGAAAAACAUUGAAAUUUAUGGAGCUUUUAAGGGCCAUUAACUUGAAGGCCGUUGCCUUUCUUUUUUCUUUCCCCCAUUCUAUUUUAAGAAAUGAAAAGGUGUUUAUUUUUCCCUUGGUCAAUUAGUCUGCAAUAGGAGAAAGGUAGAGAGACAUAUUUUGUAGAUGCUCUGAGAAUUUUAGGCAGAGAAAACUCUUCUUCUGACUGAGUUUCUCUCUUAAAAAAAUAAAGUAUAUUAAGAGCUGUAAACAGUCAGGAAUUGUGCUAUACGGAGUAAUUUUAGGUUAGGAAUAUAUGUGUCUAGAAUGUUAGGUAAAACUUUAAUCACUGAAUUUGUGGGGUAACUGUGGAAUACAUUUAUACCUUUUGCUUCUCUGUUAGAAGUUUGGAAGUUAGAUGUCCUGUUGAUGGAAGCUGUUUAGAAGUUAGAUGCCUGAAGCUUGGCAGCACUGCACACAAAACAGGAUGUUGCUGCCCACAGGUCCAGUGUCUCUAUCUUUGAGUGGCAGCAUUUGAUUUUUGCAGGGACAGUAAAGAGCAAGUGUUGCAGGGACUUGGUGUCUGAGCUGGGGGGAUAAUUACAUAUUUCUGCCCCCACCCAUAAUUAUCUCAGGAGGCAUUUCACCUCCAGGGUUUGGAAGACCUUUCUGUGUACUUGCGCUAGCACAGUGUGGAUGGGAAGAGGAAAACAACCAAGGCAGCCUGCACACAGAGCCUGAAUUAUUACCUGCCAGUGGGGCCAGCAGCUCUCACUGCUCUCCCAAGGCUGCAGAGCAGCAGGGAUGCUGCAUGGUGCUGGGUGGGACCACCUCCUGCAGCACGGCUGCUGCCUCACAUGGAGGGGGUAGGGGGGGGCGAAGCAGGACACUGCAAAGAUGGAGGGAGAAAAUGAGCUGUGCUGCUGCUGUGUGUGUGCCUGCCAGCCCUGGCCAUGCCUGCUGUCACACUUGGUUUUCCGUAAAAUUUGAUUGUUUUUGAUCACCGUUAUUGGUGUGAAAUGUUGUACCCUAAUAAGCUACCAGCAAAAUGCCUGUUGUCCUUAGCCCAACUGGAUCUAGCCAUUUAAAAUGCUUUAGAAGUCACAGCAUAAAUAUCAAAUGUUGAUAGACGCAAAGAAAUAAACUCUGGCAAUACCUGUGGUAUGCCUUCAACCAUAGUGGUGAAUAACAUUAAAAUCUCACUGCCCAGCACUCGUACCAAAAAUCAGGAUGCCUGUGUUUGGCUCACUUGUAGGCUGUGGCAACAUCAUAGUGUUCCCUCUUCAUGUGCCUAAUUCUUCACAUAGUUUGAGGACAAUAUGAACCAGAAUACAUGCAGUCCUUCACCUGUCUAUCACUACCUUCUUUCCUGCUCUCGGGAGAUACUGUUGAUCCUUCUUUCUCUUACAGAUUUGUCCAAACUUGUUAGCACUGGCAAAAGUAAUCUCCAUUUCCUCCUGGCUACUUGACAAAAGGAGGACAACAAACUUCUCUCUGCUGACUAGGAAUACAGUAAACAUUCAUGAUUUCAAGUAUGGUGAUAAGAGCGUAUUGCACCACAGUGCCAUCUCAUAGCAGUUUGUUCAGCUGAGCAUUCACUGGGCCAGCACAUCACCACUGUCAGCAUGCAAAUAAGCUCUCCCAUGCAGCUGAGAAUGAAGGCCAGAAGCCUGAAAAUAACCCAGCAAAGCAUGCCUGUUGUAAGGAAUGAGAGGUACUUGCCAACUUUUAAUCACUGGGCUUAGUGACUGGCAUGACAACAUUUUUCUGAUGGGGAAAUUAUUUACAGGCAGUUGGAAGGUCAGGAGGCUGUCUGAAACACUCAAUGGCAAAAUUAGAGUUAGCCUUUCAGUCAACCAUGUUGCUCAGGUACCUGCUUGGUGUUCCAGUGUUAACGUGCAGUACAUUCGAAGUGCAGCCACCUUCACUGUAUGUUUCAGUGUACAAAAUUACCUUCUAAUUAAGAAAUAAGUGCAGUGGUGGGGAGGAUUCCACUUUGAGUCUCAGCUUGGCUGUGAGACUCAGUGCAAGCCGUGUAGUGGGCUGUUAGAGUGGCUUGCUUGAUUCUGUUUCUUGUGUCAAACGUUUGUCAGUGGUGAUGAUGAAUAGUAGGGAAAAAUACUGAAUAAGCCCUAAGUGAUUAAUUAGAAUAUUAGUUUAGUAUUUCUGCUGCCAGACAGUCAUGCAGUCCCUGGCAUUACUGCAUAAGGUUUAAAAUGUUGAGAGAGGAAGAGGAAUUUCAAAUAUGUUUAUUCUUAUCCAGAUAAUCUCUGAAUUUAAACUCAAUAAAGCUUUUCACCAGAGUGAGAUGUUAACUAGCCAAUACUUUAUUCACACUUCAGUUAAACAACGUUUACCUCUGGUGAAAGGCACCCAAACUGUGCUACUCUGUGCUACCCUGUUUCUGUGGAAACUGUGUGUUGGAGUGGAAUAGGAAUAAUGGUGGAGAAAAGGAGAGCAGUAGCGUUUUGGCUGAAGUCCUGUUGGCCAGCCCCCGUUUCAGCUGGGAUAAGUCAGCCAAGCAAGGCCUCAGUGCUGGAGCCCCGACAGUUCUUUUUCCUCCUCCUCCUAACUUGUGCCGAGGGAGGAGUCUGCUUCACAGACACCAUUCAAAAAGUGCUUGCUAAAGCAAUUUAUCUGUAUUUUCCCCUGGUUUUUCAUGCAACAAGAAUUUUAGCCAGUCAGUAAUGUUAGUCAAUAGCUGCCUACACUGGUAGGGUAAGGUUUGUUCUGAAAAGAACUUCCAUUGACGCGUAUGUUGCUCAGCCACUGCUCUUCUAAAAAGCACCACUGUAUUCUUGGAAAGAAACUCUCCCAAAACUGAAAAGACACAUUUUUCAUCAUUCAGGGGUUUCCAAAAUAUGCAUAUGUUUGAUGGAUUGCCAGGAAAGACAGACAGCCUUGACCAGUAAACUCAGCUCUGUAUUCUCUCUUCUCUGGUAGCUGUUUCACUGACAUUCAUGUUGUUUUCUCCUGGAAUAAGGUAUCUUUCUUAAAAAUAAAAUAUGAAUUAACAGAAAAAUAUAUUUUAUUGUUUUUUCUGUUGUUAUGAUUUCUGUUAAUCAGUGAUUGCCUGCUACCUGUGUGUGUGAGUCAGAGUGAAAAAUCUAACGUGGUGAAGUUGUGAUUGAUGUCUUAAUACUGUAGAAGUAUCUGGUAGGGGUGGGGGUCUAUUUCUUCCACAUACACACAAAAAAUGACUGGCUUCUGAUUGUAGUCUGAGGCUCUGGACUGGAGGACCAGGGCAUUUUGCUGCCUAGCCUCAGUAUACACAUAUUGCUACAGAGGACCGAAAGGCAUUGUGCAGCACUCAUGGUAACCAACAUUCUGUAAAGAAUUCUAAAUCACUGCAGGAGAGGAGACAACAGAAAAAGCCGUUUGCAAGAAUGGAGAGUAUGGGAGAAAAUCAAUUAAGGAAACAGCAUUAUCUUUUCAAAUUCAGGUGUAAGUGUGUGCAGACCCAAGAAUUUCAACAGUUUCUUACAGGUGGAAGCUAAAGGGAAGAGCCUAGAUCAUGGUGAUGUUGGCUGUACAUGUUCGUGCUUCUGUGUGGAAUCAGGGACACCUGCUUCUUGGUCUGCUGCUGCUUCAGCUUCUUGGUGAGACGUUAAAAUCUCUUCAAGUCUCUCUCUAGUCCCCUUUGUGUGCCAGAGUUGGCAGUAGAACAUGAGGAACUUUAACUGCAUCGGUUCAAGGAACCCUGUGGCCCUUUCCCAUUGUGUGCCUGUAGUGCAUUGUGCUAUACAUGAAAGAAGCAGGAAGGGAAUAGAGAGAAAAGCAGGCAGUUGGUAUCAGGCACUGGUGCUGCCUUUAGUCUUUUCUUUAGUAACGUUUCCAUAAACUACAGCUGAGUUGCAGUUCAACCGAACUUUUAAGUUUUGUUUGAUUUGUAACCCAUUCUACAUUUUUUAGAAUAAGUGUUCAUUGUUUCCACUUGGCAGAUCUGAUUGCCCCCCUCUUUAAGUUAUUCAGGCUUUAAGUCUGAAGCUUAAGAAAUAUCUGUUUGUUGAAGUGCUUAUUGAUGCUCACCCAUUUGUAAGGAAUGGCAAGUUCAGGCCACUCAAAGACAUUAUUGAUAAAGACAGGACACAAUACACUGAAACAGCACUCCAUUAACCCAAUUUACCUAGUGCAGAAAAUGAUCACAGUUAUAUCAAUAUAUGCUUAAAGACACAAAUUAGCUUUUUAUUCACUGUAAUCCAUAAAAGUAAUCAGGCACAAAACUGAAGGCACUAAUCAGCAGCUACUUGUCUUCACACUCCUCUUUACACAUCUGGAUCUGCCCUUUACAAAUUGAGGAAAUGUGAAAAACUCUCUCCAGAGCAGUGUGGAAGUCCCAUUCCUUCAAAGCUGUGAUACCCAUAAGAAGGAAAUGAUCUUCACGGCAACACUGUGGCUCACCUCUGAACUGCAACAUCACACAGCAGCGAUAGGUGGCCAGUUUCUACAGUGACUCCUAUGCGCAACAUGCUCUUCUAUGAGUAGACAAUCCUUUGCUUAGGUCCAAAAACUGCUGACAUGACAAGGGCACGCCACAUGACUUGAGCUCCAAAUUACCAACGUGCUCAGUAACGGCUUAUGAGCAAAAGCACACUCAGUUUGUACAUACUCAACAUACAACUUGCCAUUGAAUAUACUCAACAAACAACUUGCAAUUGGAACAAUGUGCCUUAAGCCAAGUUGCAACUCAGACUAGAAAACCAUGGUUUGCUUUAAGGAAAAUGACACUGAAUUCAGAAUCUCUACUGUGAAACUGGACAGAUCACAUAACUAACUGGAGAGUGUUUUACUUUAAGAACUAAAAAUACUCACAAGAGAGACGGUUUUAUUUGAAUUCAGAUGUAUUUGAAACACAUUGGUAAUAAUGUGAAGAGAAUUUAGGUAUUAGGAAGAAUGCAGGUCAGCUAAUGCACAAAAAAAUAACUGGAAAGAAUAGAAUGUAGUGUGACUGAGAAAGUAUUACCUUACAAUCUUACUUAACCUUACAAUCAUUACUCUGCAAUUUCUCUUAUGUCCCUUAAUCAGAAUCAAAGUGUAAAGCUCAAUACUCAUUUUAAAACUAUUCCUCUUUAUAAAUUGUAUAUUCCUAAGCUGAAAAUAAAUGUGAUGACAACUGAACUAAAUUCUUUCCGAUUACUCAGCUUAUCGAAUUUGGAGGCCAGAACUCUGAUUUGCAAAAAAAAAAACAACCCUAUUUUCUCAAAUUUAAAAAAGAUACAGAAAUCUCAAGAGUACAAAUUACACAAUCAUUUAUAUCAAUCUUUUUUAAUUCUAAAUAUUGAGUCAACAGCUACAUUUUAAGACAAAACUUACAACCCCCUGUCUGAAGUUUCACUUUCAAGCGAUUUGGCAAUUCAGGUGCAGACGGAUUCCAUUAAAAAGUGCUAAGAAGAUUCUGACCUAUCAAAUCACGACCUUGUUUAAUAAGGAGUAAAAUUAAUGACAGUUGUUUUUUGAUUAACUGGUAUCCUAUAUGCCCUACAUCUUCCUACUGUUAUACUAUCAAAGUAUUCUCCCAGUCUUCUUCCUCAUUUCUUGCACUUCCUUCCAAGACCCUCAGCUAUAUUUCAGUUGCCUUCCCCAGUCUCGCAAUACUCUAAGCUCAUUUGUACAUCCUUCUAGAUACAACCUUUCCCCCCUGCUUGCUCUUUUUCAACUACUCGCCUGGUCCAUAGUGGCAGAAUGGGUUUCACUCACUGGUGAGGAUGCAGCAACUCUGUCAAAUAGGCGUUGGUGUUCUCCUUUCUUUUCUGUGAAAGGAAAUAUUAGCAGUGUCUAUCCUUAGUAUCUCUGUAGUAGCUUUGAGACUUCUAACCUUCUGCCAGAUCAAUGUGAAACUGGAAGAUGAAUAAAAAAAUUACCAGAUGGAGACUAACCCUU